rnacentral:rRNA from 1 species
UACGUAGAAGACUAGUGUUAUUCAUCUUUAGUAGGUUUAAAGGGUACCUAGACGGUAUAAUUAGUCUUAAAUAGGAUACGGUUAUACUAGAGUUAUAUACGAGGAGGUGAGUAUUUAUGGAGUAGAGUUGAAAUUCUUUGAUACCAUAACGACUGAUAACGGCGAAAGCAACCUUUUAUCUAAUAACUGACGUUGAGGGACGAAAGGCUCGGGUAACGAACAGG